UAGAAAAACUGGAAUUAAGUUCAGUGGCUUAUUAAGUUCAGUUCAGUUCACGUGUAAAUAUGUCUGACUUAUCAAUUCAAAGGUCACAGCUCACAUCAACUGCUGCAGAGAAGCUUACCAUCGACAAGGUGCACCGCAGUAAUUUGAAGUAUCUUCAAAACAUGCAAUCUCCAUGACCAGAAGGACAAUGCAGCAGAUGCAUCAAACACCACCAUCUGUGUGUUCCAUUCUAAGCUACACAUGAUCUUGAUUUGGAAGAAUGUCACCUUUCCUUCACUGUUGCUGGAUGAAUAUCUUAGAACUGCCUCCUAAACAGCACCAUGGGUUAACCUGCACCAAAUUUCUCAGCAGUUCAAAAAAGUAGCUCACCACCAUGUCCUCAAUGGAAAUUAUAGAAAGCAGCAAAUGUUCGCCUUGCCUGUAAUGCUCACAUACAAAUAACUAAUAAAAAUAAGUCUUGGCCUUUC